CGUACUAUGGGACGCAGCUGAUGCAGCAACGCCGCGUGAGUGAUGAAGGCCUUCGGGUUGUAAACGUCUCUUUUCUCCGGGACGAUAAUGACGGUACCCGACGAAUAAGCCCCGGCUAACUUCGUGCCAGCAGCCGCGGUAAUAAUAUACGCGGUAAUA
rnacentral:rRNA from 1 species